GGGGACGUCUUUCCAUUAGAAAGAGAUUGGUCAACGACAAUGCUGAGCAAGUUUCUCAAGGCAAACUGAUCUGCUUGUCUGACAUUUCCUUUAACUGGGGUGUCUCUUCCUUGAAAACACAGCCCUCCAGCAGAAAGGUUACAUUGUUACCUACUGAUGAACACCACCAGGGAAGUGGGAGAGGACAAGGAACAGAGAGAAGCAUGCCAGGAAGGAUGUUUUAGACGCGAGAAGACAGAGACAUGCAGAAAGCCAAGGAAGUGGGGUGAUUUCACUCUCCAAAUUCCUCCCUUUUUUGUCGAUUUGGAAGGCAGCCUAAAACGUGCCUGUCGCAGAUGUUUUAACAGAAGGUGUUUGCAUGCUGUUCGUUAAUACGCCGCCAUACGGAACACAGUAUGACCACCACAAUAACCAGACCUAUUGCCAUGUGUUUACAUGAGUCGUUCCCAGCACCAUGUGUUCAAGACAACACUUCCCUUCAUUACUGGAUUGCACCACCACUACAGUGAGAAAACCGGAAUGAUGACACAACUCCAAGCACAUGCUGUUCAUUUAGCACCGGAGAACAUUCUCCUCCUCAAAGGACUGUACUGGAUAUGAAAUUAAUCACCGAGAAGCAAAUAGUCUGUCAUGCUGAUUAGAAGAUGAGGUGAUUCUGUAAUGAAACCUAACACACAGAAGGACAAACCCAAACUGCUCAAUUGCUCUUUUUGGAUGGGAAACAUAAUGUAAACUGUGUUGUUUUGAAUUGGCUUGAGUUAUUCGGUUAUAGGUUGUUAUGUUUUUAUAAUAAACAUCCCUCUGAUA